rnacentral:rRNA from 1 species
GACGUAGGGCGCGAGCGUUGUCCGGAUUUAUUGGGCGUAAAGAGCUCGUAGGCGGCUUGUCGCGUCGACUGUGAAAACCCGCGGCUCAACUGCGGGCCUGCAGCCGAUACGGGCAGGCUAGAGUUCGGUAGGGGAGACUGGAAUUCCUGGUGUAGCGGUGGAAUGCGCAGAUAUCAGGAGGAACACCGAUGGCGAAGGCAGAUCUCUGGGCCGUAACUGACGCUGAGGAGCGAAAGCAUGGGGAGCGAACAGG